AUUGAACGCUGGCGGCAGGCCUAACACAUGCAAGUCGAACGAGUGGCGGACGGGUGAGUAAUGUCUGGGAAACUGCCCGAUGGAGGGGGAUAACUACUGGAAACGGUAGCUAAUACCGCAUACCAUCAGAUGUGCCCAGAUGGGAUUAGCUAGUUGGUGGGGUAAAGGCUAACCUAGGCGACGAUCCCUAGCUGGUCUGAGAGGAUGAUCAGCCACACUGGAACUGAGACACGGCCCAGACUCCUACGGGAGGCAGCAGUGGGGAAUAUUGGACAAUGGGCGAAAGCCUGAUGCAGCCAUGCCGCGUGUGUGAAGAAGGCCUUCGGGUUGUAAAGUACUUUCAGUGGGGAGGCGUUACCCGCAGAAGAAGCACCGGCUAACUCCGUGCCAGCAGCCGCGGUAAUUC
rnacentral:rRNA from 1 species